rnacentral:pre_miRNA from 1 species
GGAACCAUAGGGAGGUAUACCAAUCCAGCCUCAGAAAAAGAAACCUGCUGUGGGAGUCUUGGAGCUUGGUGACCGUCCUAAUGACUUA